rnacentral:misc_RNA from 1 species
UGAGGAGGAAGAAUAAUUCAAGAUGCAAACCUCUGCCACCAUCCAAGAGGCUAAGGCUUGAGGCUCAGAGGGUUCUGAAGGAAAGAGUUCAGGACAUUGCAGAUAAGAAAGGCAUCAAGCUAAGGUUCUGCAACCUCAAGGAGUGCGAGAAUCACAUUCAUACCUUGGAUAGCCCAUGUGCCAAUAUUAGAAUGGAGAUCGGUUGGCCUGCUGGAGUACCAUUUGUUCAUCCCCAUGAUUUGCCGAAUAAGGCAAAGAUAGGUUUUCUUGAAGCAUAUGAGCCUGGGUGGACAGCAACUCAUGGUAUGGAGCUAAGUCUGACCGAAACUGGACAAGGCAGUCAACACUCGGCCAAUUGUACCUGAAUCAAUUUCUAUGUUUUCCAAAUGGCAAUGAUCCUUGAUAAGCUUCUGACUAGGUUUGACAGAAUUGAUCUCCCUGGUUUACUGUCAGUUAUGGCAUUAAGCAGCUCGUGGUUGCAUUUUGGGGUCAUAGUACUUUCAUUGUGUUGAUGCAUCAAUUCUCCCAAGAUGACAUAGCAAAUUGUGUGUUGUUCUUGGGCUGUGACUGAGAUUCUAUAUUGGUGGUUCUACUGAAGCUUAAUUUAUUUUCUUAUGUAUUUAUACUCUUAUAGUGUGCUCGUUGAGCACAGUGCACUGUUUUGUAGAACUGAACAAAUAACAAUAAGACAUGCAGAUUAGAAGCCUUGAGAGAGAGCUACUAAUUUAAUUCUGCGCAUUAUCCAUGGCCUCUGGUGCAGAGUUGAGGCAACACUACCUUCAUUCUCCAGACUCUGUAUGAGAAUAAAAGGUUUCGGUUACAAUUGAAUAAGAAUAAAAUUACUAUUUCCGUUGCUUUUCAAAAAGUACCUGCUGGAGUCGCAUUACAAAGUCUUCCCAACAUAUAAUUUUUUACAUCUGAGCUCUGUACACUCUGUGAAUUUCUGUAGCUGUUUUCAGGUCCACAAAUCUUGGAUGCUCACUGCAUGGCAGGUUCUAAUAUUAAUAGGUGAAGAAGUUGUGUACUAGUUCAUGAGGCUUGCAAUGCCUGUAUAAUCAUGAAUCACUGGCAU